AAAAGUUGCAGCAUUUGAAGGUCCAAUAAUUUGUUGAAUAUCAGCUUUUGUAUAGGUAUCAUAAUUAAAUCCACCUGGAAUUUUAAGUUCUCCUUUGAUGUCAGGAUCUUUGAUAAUUAUCAGGUGAAAUCGGGAGAAUACUGCUCUCCAUUCUUCCAGAAAUGAAGUAAGAUCUGGUUCAAUUGCAGCUAUCACAAUAUCUACCUCAUCAUCUCUGACGCUAACUUGAAACAUUUUUCAAGGCUAGAAAAGCAAAAGCAAGAACAGGAUUUGUUGCCUUGAGAAUGGAGAGAGCCUUUUGCAAUAAUAACAAUUGCUUGCUACCGAACAAUAUCAGAAUUUCUCAGAGCAUCUAGUAGGAAGCACAGGAGUAAGAACACAUUGGAUGUUAAAUGCGCCAAUUAGUGAAAGGAUUUCUUCUUUUCCAGUUGCAAUAAACAGCUUCAGAAUCUUCUCAUUUAGCUUCCCAGCUCUCAAGGUCCUCAGAAAAAGGUCUUCAAGAAUGUGUUCAGGUAAGAAAGAGAGAUCAGAAUAGGAAGAGAUAUGAAGAAGGGCAGAGUCAAUAGCGAGAGAAAGAAGGGAAGGCGGGUCGGUUCUCAUUCAUUUAACCCUUAAAUUACUCCGAUACUUUCUCUCUCACAUACUCUCUUACACAUGUGACUCACCCAACACAACAAAGCACUUGUUUACAUCUAA
rnacentral:misc_RNA from 1 species